rnacentral:RNase_P_RNA from 2 species
CCAGAUGACCGGGUGAUCGCGGGGCAGGGAAACCUGCCUUGAGGAAAGUCCGGGCUCCACGGUAAUAGGACGGCGGGUAACGCCCGCCGGGGGUGACCCCAGAGAUAGCGCCACAGAGAGCAGACCGCCCUGAUCCGUCAGGGCAAGGGUGAAAGGGUGCGGUAAGAGCGCACCGCGUGUCCGGUAACGGAGACGGCAUGGCAAGCCUCGUCCGGAGCAAGACCAAAUAGGAACGGCGCGCUUUUGGCGACAAAAGCAGGGCAUUACCGCCCCAGACCGUUCGGGUAGGUUGCGUGAGCCGUCCAGCGAUGGGCGGCCAAGAGGAAUGAUCGCCAAGGGGAGCAAUCCCUGAACAGAACCCGGCUUACAGGUCAUCUGGCCCG